rnacentral:rRNA from 1 species
CGUAGGGUGCAAGCGUUGUCCGGAAUUAUUGGGCGUAAAGAGCUCGUAGGCGGUUUGUCGCGUCUGCUGUGAAAUUCCGAGGCUCAACCUCGGGCGUGCAGUGGGUACGGGCAGACUUGAGUGCGGUAGGGGAGAUUGGAAUUCCUGGUGUAGCGGUGGAAUGCGCAGAUAUCAGGAGGAACACCGAUGGCGAAGGCAGAUCUCUGGGCCGUUACUGACGCUGAGGAGCGAAAGCAUGGGGAGCGAACAGGAUU